rnacentral:rRNA from 1 species
UUGGUUAAGUUAGAAAGGGCGCACGGUGGAUGCCUUGGCACUAGGAGCCGAAGAAGGACGGGACUAACACCGAUAUGCUUUGGGGAGCUGUACGUAAGCGUUGAUCCAGAGAUUUCCGAAUGGGGGAACCCACUAUCUUUAGUCGGAUAGUAUCCUUACGUGAAUACAUAGCGUGAGGAAGGCAGACCCAGGGAACUGAAACAUCUAAGUACCUGGAGGAAGAGAAAGAAAAAUCGAUUUCCUGAGUAGCGGCGAGCGAAACGGAAAGAGCCCAAACCAAGAAGCUUGCUUCUUGGGGUUGUAGGACACUCUAUACGGAGUUACAAAAGAAAGUUAUAAAUGAAGCGGUCUGGAAAGGCCCGCCAAAGACGGUAACAGCCCGGUAGUUGAAAUGGCUUUCCCUCCAGAGUGGAUCCUGAGUACGGCGGAACACGUGAAAUUCCGUCGGAAUCCGGGAGGACCAUCUCCCAAGGCUAAAUACUCCCUAGUGACCGAUAGUGAACCAGUACCGUGAGGGAAAGGUGAAAAGCACCCCGGAAGGGGAGUGAAACAGUUCCUGAAACCGUGUGCCUACAAGUAGUUAGAGCCCGUUAAUGGGUGAUAGCGUGCCUUUUGUAGAAUGAACCGGCGAGUUACGAUUUGUUGCAAGGUUAAGCGGAAAAAGCGGAGCCGUAGCGAAAGCGAGUCUGAAUAGGGCGCAUAAGUAACAGGUCGUAGACCCGAAACCAGGUGAUCUACCCAUGUCCAGGAUGAAGGUAAGGUAAUACUUACUGGAGGUCCGAACCCACGCACGUUGAAAAGUGCGGGGAUGAGGUGUGGGUAGCGGAGAAAUUCCAAUCGAACUUGGAGAUAGCUGGUUCUCUCCGAAAUAGCUUUAGGGCUAGCCUCGAGGUAAAGAGUCAUGGAGGUAGAGCACUGUUUGGACUAGGGGCCCUUCUCGGGUUACCGAAUUCAGAUAAACUCCGAAUGCCAUGUACUUAUACUCGGGAGUCAGACUGCGAGUGAUAAGAUCCGUAGUCGAAAGGGAAACAGCCCAGACCACCAGUUAAGGUCCCCAAAUAUAUGUUAAGUGGAAAAGGAUGUGGGGUUGCUUAGACAACCAGGAUGUUGGCUUAGAAGCAGCCACCAUUGAAAGAGUGCGUAAUAGCUCACUGGUCGAGUGACCCCGCGCCGAAAAUGUACCGGGGCUAAACAUAUUACCGAAACUGUGGAUGAACCUCUUUAGAGGUUCGUGGUAGGAGAGCGUUCUAAGGGCGGU